UUCCGGUUGAUCCUGCCGGAGGUUACUGCUAUCGGUGUUCGACUAAGCCAUGCGAGUCAAAUGUUCUUCGUGAACAUGGCGGACUGCUCAGUAACACGUGGAUAACCUGCCCUUAGGUUCGGCAUAACUCCGGGAAACUGGAGAUAAUUCCGAAUAGGUCAAAUAUGCUGGAAUGCUUUUUGGCCAAAAGACCUCGGUUGCCUAAGGAUGGAUCUGCGGUCUAUCAGGUUGUAGUGGGUGUAACGUACCUACUAGCCUACGACGGAUAUGGGUUGUGAGAGCAAGAGCCCAGAGAUGGAUUCUGAGACAUGAAUCCAGGCCCUACGGGGCGCAGCAGGCGCGAAAACUUUACAAUGCGGGAAACCGCGAUAAGGGGACACCGAGUGCCAGCAUUUAUGUUGGCUGUCCACAUGUGUAAACGGCAUGUGUUAGCAAGGGCCGGGCAAGACCGGUGCCAGCCGCCGCGGUAACACCGGCGGCCCGAGUGGUAAUCACUUUUAUUGGGUCUAAAGGGUCCGUAGCCGGUUUGAUCAGUUCUUCGGGAAAUCUGACAGCUCAACUGUUAGGCUUCCGGGGAAUACUGUCAGACUUGGGACCGGGAGAGGUAAGAGGUACUACAGGGG
rnacentral:rRNA from 1 species